UCCUCCCCUGAGAGCGCCCACCACUCUCUGUGAGGAUGAUGGGCAGCUGCCCAGGAAACCCGGACUCCACCCCGGGAGAUGCCCUGCUUAUAUUUUCUCCUGUAACCGCCUGCUUGGAUACCUCGGGGUGAUGGACACCUUCUCAACUACCUGAGCCUGCAGGACAAUGGUCACAAGGACGCCCUACAGGGACAGGAGAACCGGCUGAGCUUGUCCUACAGACCCCAGAAAAGGCACCACACAGCCAUCUCUACACCAGGCCUGGAGAACUGAGUGGCUCAGAUCUCAGCCCAGCUGUGUGACCUUGGACAAGCCUCCUCCCCUCUCUGAUCCUCUGCCUAGAAGCUCUACCUUACACGGCUGCUGGGGACCCAGGUGCCCAGGUCCCGCCUGGUGACAGUCGGCCUGUAAACAGCAUACAGGGGCAGCGGAGGGCGGUCCCAUCCCCCACAGAGCCCACACUGGAGGCGCGCCCACUGCCCUCAUCACACGGGGAGCCGGACAGGACUAGGGCACAGAGAGGCUGAGCGACCUGCCCAAGGUCACACAGCCGCGCGAGCGACCGGUACGGCGUGGGGUUCCCGGCUCACCUGACUUGGGGUAGGUGACGAUCCACACGUCGCUGGGCCGCACGGGGAAGUCGGCGAUAUCCUCCAUCUUCCCGCGGCAGAAGGGCGGCAGCCGCACGCCAUGGAACUCGAAGUACUUGCUCUCGAACUCGCCCGGGGUGCCCGGGGUCUCCGCUUCGCUCUCCGCCAUGCCGCCGCCCGGCCCGGCCCGCAGCUCCAGGGCGUGACGUCACGGCGCCGGCGCGGGGCUCCGCGGGCAUGACGUCAUGGCCGCACCCACGCACGCCGCGCCCCUGACGUCGGUUGCCGAGGCCCCGCGCCUGCCGCAAAGGUGCGUCGGGUCCGUAUCACUGCCUGUCAGUCAUGCGUGGCAGGUCAGGGUCCCCACACCCUAGAGCAAAAAAGGAGGCGUCUGCGCAGACCCAGGGCGAGCCUCGGGGUCCGGGAAGCCGCACCUCCAGAAGCUUCUGAUGCCAGAGAUGGAAGAGCCCGCAUCAGAGCGCGGCUGACAAAGGCAGCGUUUAGAGAGCCUGCAAUCAAGUGCCAGAGAGAACUCCCCCCAGGAAGAACCCCGGCAGAGAGGCCCCAAGAAAAGAAACCCAAGACAGAAAACCUCCAGGCAGAGAGGACUCCCACCCCCACCCCACAAGCAGAGAAGACCAUCAGCAGAGGAUUCCCCUUGCAGAUAGAAACCCCAGAGUGGGCCCUUCCAGGCAGAGACCAGACGCUUGGCAGAGAAAUCUCCAGGCUGAGAAGAGGCCCCCUCCCCGAGGACACCCCAAACAGAGGCGAUCCCCCCUCCUCCAGAGAGGAAACUCCCAUGCCGAGAAGACCCUCGGCAGAGAGGAACCCAAGAGUGGACAUCCCCGCCCCCAGGCAAAAAGGACCUCAGGUAGAGGGGACCCCAGCAGAGAUGCGCCCUCAGGAAAUCCCCCAGAGAGGACCCUCCAGGUGGCGCCCGCCACCUGUCCAGGUCCCAUCCUUGACAAUGGGAAUCCUAUUUCCAGGAGCCACAUCUGGGGAAAGCAGCUAACAAGAACCCAAGGGUCUGGGAAACCCCUUAGGAGUAGAGCUCCUCCCUCUCGGGAAGCCCUGGGGUCAGUUCCCCAGCACUGGAGAAAAGGGAAACAGACAAACAAAAGUUGGGCUUGCGGCACACUUGUGAUCCCAGCAACUGGAGAGUGGAGACAAGAAGAUCAAGAGUUCAAGGCCAGCCUCGGCUACAUCGUGCAUUUGACGCUAGCUUAGGAUACAUGAGAGCCUAAGAAAGGGGCAGAGAAAACUGUCUCCUUUUUCUCUCUAGCACGGGAGAUGCACAGACCUGUCUGGAUACAGAGAGUAGAAUAAGAAUGAAAAGGAACCCUCCUCAACAAAGACAUUCCUAGGAAUAUUCAACAAACAAAAACCAGUGGAGCUAAGAAGUGAGUUUAGUAGAUUCUGGGUAGACAUGGCCACUGAACCAAAGUCCAUUCUAUUUACACACACUUGGACAAGCACUUCAAGUCUAACGUUUGGGUAACAUUUAUGUAAAAUUUAAAAAAAAAAAAAAAGUCCUUCAGACAAAGAUAAGAAACCCCAUGCAAGCAUUUUUUUAAUGCCAAACACUGUACAGAUGUGAGAAAAGAAAGCUUAGUGAAACAGAAAGAGAUGCUAGGCUCUCGGGGUGACUGCAGAGUGCUGAGAACCCGCUGUAGGUGUAGUAAGCCUGCAAUAAUUAGAGGUGCAUGGAUGAGACCUCUGUGCUCUGGGAGCUGCUGAUGGAGAGGCACAGCGCCGUGUCGCUGUCCACGGUGCUGAACGCCCGAAGCUUGGGCCCCCGCGCCCCAACCCCCACCCCAACGCCUAGCACACAGCAAUCCCGCUUCAUUUACAUUGUUUUGAGGCAUAUUCUCCUAUUUCCUUGUACCAUUAAAAACCUUGAGGUAGGGAUGGCAAUAUGUAAAGAUGUGACCUGAUUUUCAUCCCCAGAACCCGUGUGGUAGCAGGAGAGAAUGGAUCCCUCAAGUUGUCCUCUGACCUCCAAAUACCAUACACACAAACACACACAAACACAUGCACACACUCACACACACACACAUGCCACACAUACACAAAUGCACACAUACCACACACACCACAUACCACACACACACAUGUGUGUGUUCAUGUGCGUGCACACACACACAUUAAAGAGAUAGAUAUUUAGAUACAAACGUACAUACAUACAUAGGUUAAUGGGUGAAUAAAUAAAGGUUUGAGUGAGAAAUGUUAUUUAAAUUUAUUUAAAUUAGUUGGCUUAAAUGCAUGUAAUUUAAAUAAGUAAAUAACUUUUCCUUGGGCUUGAAAUUCCAAACAUACAAAAUAUAAGAGAAUGAGAUGGUGUGUAUGCACUUGUCACAUCUCAUCACGCAAUGUCUAUGAUCAACACAUGUUUUAUCAGCUUACAUACGUGCAUAUGCAUGCACACACAUGCACACACACACACUAGGGUGUCUGUGCAUUAGCUCAUUCAUGCAUAUUUUCGUACAGAUCACUAAGAGAUAAGAACUCUCAGGGCUUGGAGAGAUGGCUCAGCGGUUAAGAGCACUGACUGCUCUUCCAGAGGUCCUGAGUUCAAUUCCCAGCAACCACUUGGUGUCUUACAACCAUCUGUAAUGGGAUCUGACACCCUCUUCUGAUGUGUCUGAAGACAGUGACAGUGUACUCACAUACAUAAAAUAAAUAAAUAAAUCUUUUUUUA